GGCUUGGUAGCUCAACAGGUAGAGCGGCGGACUGGUAUCCCGAAGGUGCGAGUUCGAAUCUCGUCCAAGUCG